UACAGAGGGGGCAAGCGUUAUUCGGAAUUAUUGGGCGUAAAGGGCGCGUAGGCGGCUUGGCAAGUGGAAGGUGAAAUCCCUCGGCUUAACCGAGGAACUGCCCUCCAAACUGCUUCGCUUGAGACCGGGAGAGGUGAGUGGAAUUCCCAGUGUAGCGGUGAAAUGCGUAGAUAUUGGGAGGAACACCUGUGGCGAAAGCGGCUCACUGGACCACAACUGACGCUGAGGCGCGAAAGCUAGGGGAGCAAACAGG
rnacentral:rRNA from 1 species